rnacentral:tRNA from 1 species
GCCAUCAUGGUGUAGUGGUUUGAGCAUUGGACUAUGACUCUGGGGAACAGGGUUCAAAUCCCUGCUUGGCC